GCUUACGGCCAUACCAGCCUGGGUACGUCAGAUCUCGGAAGCUAAGCAGGGUCGGGCCUGGUUAGUACUUGGAUGGGAGACCGCCUGGGAAUACCAGGUGCUGUAAGCA
rnacentral:rRNA from 1 species